rnacentral:rRNA from 1 species
ACCUGUUCCCAUUCCGAACACAGAAGUUAAGCCCACCAGCGCCGAUGGUACUGCUAACGCGGGAGAGUAGGUCGCCGCCAGUU